rnacentral:rRNA from 1 species
AAUCAACGCUGGCGGCGUGCCUCAGACAUGCAAGUCGAACGAUUAAAGCUCUCUUCGGAGAGUGCAUAAAGUGGCGCACGGGUGAGUAACACGUAAGUAAUCUACCUUCGAGUGGGGAAUAACGUCCGGAAACGGACGCUAAUACCGCAUAACGCAGCGGCAUCGCAAGAUGACAGUUGUUAAAGAUUUAUCGCUUGAAGAGGAGCUUGCGGCAGAUUAGCNGUUGGUAAGGUAACGGCUUACCAAGGCUACGAUCUGUAUCCGGUCUAAGAGGACGGUCGGACACACUGACACUGAAUAACGGGUCAGACUCCUACGGGAGGCAGCAGUCGGGAAUUUUGGGCAAUGGGGGAAACCCGUGACCCAGCAACGCCGCGUGAAGGAUGAAGUAUUUCGGUAUGUAAACUUCGAAAGAAUAGGAAGAAUUAAUGACGGUACU